AAAUAAUUUUCAAAAGAAAAAAAGGUAAAAGAUAAAAGUGCCCUACAAAAUUUCGUUUCCCGCCCUAGCUCCCUUUGUUUCGAUUUUCUCUGCGAGAUUCUAUUUCUUCCCGAUUUUCCAAAAUUUUGGCCAUUCCGCAAAAAGAACUCGAUAAAUUCUGUAUGGAUUUCCAUUUCCGUGGUGAACUAAGUGUAGAAGAUUUGAAGAUCUAGGGUUUGGCUUUCCAGAUCCUAAGGUAUUUCAUGUAAGGAUUUCCAUUUCCGUGGCGAACUGAGAUUUGGAUCAUUGUUUCGUUGCUUUUCUGCUUCAAAGUGUAGAAGAUUUGAAGAUCUAGGGUUUGGCUUCCCAGAUCCUAAGAAUGUUUUGCCCAUGUCAAAUAAAUCAUAGGGAGAGAGCUAGAAUGGAAAAGAGAAAGAAACAAGAGUAGAGAAUUCAAUUCUUGUGGGAGAAGAAUGGUUGAGACAUUGACUACCUUUGAUACUAGCAAAAUAACCCAAGCGUUCUACACCCUCGGCGAUCCCAACUAAAAGCACUAUACGAAUUAAUGACAAGCGAGAUAUUGAAAGCCAAUGGCCCUGUGUGUAAACCUUGUCGUGGAAUCCUUCACUUGUUAUAAUUGUUUAUGAUUGUGGGUAGGAUUUGCGUGUAGUUUAAUGUGAAUGUGUGAAAGUUAUGAAGUUGUGAAUAUUACUGUUGACAAUCAUAUUUUUCGUUAUUUUUAUAUUUUGAUUGUUAAUAUAAUUGUUUUACAACCA